rfam:Dipodomys ordii contig_32828, whole genome shotgun sequence.
GGGAAGGUGGCUCAGUGGUAGAGUGUUUGCCUUGCAAGCCAGAGGCCUUGGGUUCGAUUCCUCAGCACCCCA